AUUGAACGCUGGCGGCAGGCUUAACACAUGCAAGUCGAGCGGAGAUGAGGUGCUUGCACCUUAUCUUAGCGGCGGACGGGUGAGUAAUGCUUAGGAAUCUGCCUAUUAGUGGGGGACAGCAUUCCGAAAGGAAUGCUAAUACCGCAUACGUCCUACGGGAGAAAGCAGGGGAUCUUCGGACCUUGCGCUAAUAGAUGAGCCUAAGUCGGAUUAGCUAGUUGGUGGGGUAAAGGCCUACCAAGGCGACGAUCUGUAGCGGGUCUGAGAGGAUGAUCCGCCACACUAGGACUGAGACACGGCCCAGACUCCUACGGGAGGCAGCAGUGGGGAAUAUUGGACAAUGGGGGGAACCCUGAUCCAGCCAUGCCGCGUGUGUGAAGAAGGCCUUAUGGUUGUAAAGCACUUUAAGCGAGGAGGAGGCUACUGAGACUAAUACUCUUGGAUAGUGAACGUUACUUGCAGAAUAAGCACCGGCUAACUCUGUGCCAGCCGCCGCUGUAA
rnacentral:rRNA from 1 species